CGGCCCUGUGAAAUUGACUUUUUAAGAACCCAGCCACAGAGGGGAUGGCCCAGGCCUUUGGCGUCGGCCUUUCAUCCGGUGCCAACGUCCAACUCUUCUUUCGAUUUCAUUUGCGGGCUAGGGAUGACCGACAGAUCGAGAGCGAGAGGGUUUAUAAGUUGUCGAUCAGGCAUUAUCAAAAGACUCGAAUAUAGAAAUUGGUUUCGAAAUAUGAUAGCACGAAACAUGAUAGGUGGUAGAAUACGCGAGAGUGGUAUGAUAGAAGGGUUCUUUUUAUAUGAACAGGUGUAGAUCCGUGGUGGCUUUUAGAUUAAGUGUAUCAGCUGGAUAGUUGCAUUUAUUGAAGAUAAUUAAAUGCUUUUUUAAAUUAGACUUUCUUCUAUCGUAAUUACUAUCUCUUACGUUAUCGAUACUUGCUCCUUCCACGCUCAAGGUUCGCGUUCCAUAUAUGCAUAGUGUCCUUCAACAAGUUAUCAACCUUAUCAGCAUUUUCGAUUAAGUGCGUUGUAUGUUUUCUUCAUAAAGACAUUAGAGCGAACGUUCUUUUAUUCGUGUCAUUGAGUCGUACAUGAUCUACAAUCAAGUGGGAGUUAAAGAAUCUAAUUUUAAAAUUCACUUCCUUCUACACGUAUCAAGACCAUUAACAAUUUAUCCUAUGAAAUAUGAGAUAAAAAUACAAUUGAAAUUAAAUACACCAAAGUUAAUCAAUCUUAUCAAAACUCCUACGAUCAUCUGCGAUCGAACGAUGCCAGUUGAAACGUAAUAUUUCGUAGAAGCAAAAAAUUAUACUCCACAGCCGAAGAACAGAAUUAAUUACAAUCUCAUCAUCGAAAAGAGAUUCGAACAGAUCCUCUCAUAGAUAAAGCGAAAAAUUCCGCUCGACUCUCUCGAAAUAACGAGUACUGUCGUGCACGGUCCUCCGAAAGAAGCUGCAUUCGAAUCAAGAGGCACGAUGAAGCGAAGAUCACGAAAGUGUCUACACGGAGGAAAUGCACGCGCGAAUUCGUCGAUAAAUCCGUAGGCCGGCGUCGCGGCUCGGCUAUUUUGCAUAAAACGUAACGGAGUGUGUAUGCAGCGAGGCGCGAUGGCAUUUAUCGUCGCGACGCAUGCGAGCGAACCAGACGACGGUUUUUGUUCGGCUAGGCGUUGCGCACCACCAGCUCCACGUGUACCGGCCAAACUCCCCGUCGACCAUUAAAUCGAGAUUUCGCCGGUGAUUAGCGGCAGUUUGGCUCGCCUCGCUGCGCCCGCCAGUCGAUAGAUUUUCCCAAUAAUUUUCCGUCAGUUCGAGGAAUUUCGCCCGUGCCCGAGGAAUCGCUCCUUGCCGCUUAUAUUACGCCCUCGUCUUCUCAAUUUUGGCCACGAUGGAAUUUCAAAUGCCUUCGUUAUUCUACUGUUCUCUUUUCUCCUUUGAGAGAUUAUGAUAUUUUAUUUCUUUUUUUUCCAGUCGAUUUGAAGGAAUAUCAUUCUUUUUUUGAUGGUAAUUAGUAUUAUUUAUGAAGAUUUUAAUUCGAAGUGGGAGAUAUUUGUUAAAUACGAGGCCAAACUUCGGGUAAACUCACAUCUUUUAUUUACAAUUAUACAUGUACAAUUAUAUACAAUCUGAAUUAUUAUUAAGAUACUCGUUUCGAUACGUCUACUCCGUAGGAAAUUCCGCAAACAACUGACUGUUUCUUCUGGUUAAGUUAUUUAGUAAUGAUCAAUCAUCUUCUUAAUUAUUUACUUUACAUUUACGUAUAACGUUACUUUACACGUGUUAAUUUUGAUAUUUCGCAUGGUCAAACAGCUUGGACAUUCGAGGGCUUGUACUUUGGCAUUUUCUCUUUUGUAUUACCCGCGAAUUAAACUUCCUAUGAGUUUUAAAAUUUCUCUAUAAUGAGAUCUACGGAAAUAUAGGUCAAUGAACUCGGGUAUUAAAGGCAGAGGGUGAGGUAAUAGGUUACUCUUGAAAGUCUCCAGCCAUCUCACAUUGCCGUCGACUUAAAUGGCAUUUCUCGAUUAAUUUAUACCCCUUGCAAACAACCUGUUACACAAUCUGUUAAAUUAGAAUUAAUUACUCGAGGACUGCCAUUAAUCACCGUAGCACGAGUUCUCCCUCAGGAGGGACGAAAAAUGGUCCCUCCGCGGAAUGAAAUUAAACAUCGAAACCGGAUCCCGGUUUCAAUACUCAAAAUCCAGAAAUGCACGUGAAACCGCGCCCCAUUAAACGUUCAUUGCCGAUCUAACAAAACUCGCCGAAUAGAAUUAAAUUUUCCUUCUACGUUGACCGAUAGUAAUUUACAAAUCCACCGUAAAAACUGGACGAUUAAUGAAACGAGCCGCGUAAGGGGAAGGAGGUGAAUUUCAAGCGUGCAACUCUCCAUUUCGAAUUAAAAUUUUCAUCCGCGUUCGUACGCGCAGCCAGACGUUCCAGCUAAUUAAACAGCAGUGAUCCGAGGAUCAGGCGAAUCGCACGCGUUCCGUUCGUGAAAAGCGCAAACGUUUUCCAUGUCCAGAGAGAAAUAGAGCGAGAGAAGGAUCGUUUGGAUUGCGGAAACGCCGGUUGAAAAAAACCGAAAUCUCGGCGGCUUUUUAAUUACAUGUUCGUUCCUCCCUCGUUCAAACGCGCAACGGCAAACCGAUGAUGCAUGAUGUACGAUGUAUGUACGCAACGUUUCCGAUUAAAUCGUGGUUCUGCUCGCGAAAUUCCGUUGAUUUAUCGACGGCUGAGUCGCGGACGAGCAUCACGAUCCUAUACUUCAAUGGGAAUUUCUCUGUGGUCUCGAAUCGUAUCGUAGAAUCUGUUUCUUUAUAGUACGUGCAAUUUCUUCUUCGUGACUCGAGUGGGGAGUUUAAAUGAUUUGUAAGGUGAUGUUAAUAUAUCACAGCCUGAUAACGUGGUUCUGUGUGGUGUAAUUCAUAAAAGAUACGAGUUAUUGUGGUUGUGCUGUGGCACGUUGGAAAUAUCGAAUGCUGUGAUUUCUUAGAGCUUGAAUUUUGUGCACAGUAGUAUUACGCUACCUGGCCAUGGAUCUGGUCAGUUAUCAAAAGUGGUAUAUUUCUUUUUUUCUUGUUCCAUUGAAUGUAAAUGAGAUUCGGAUAUUCGACGUAUUUGUUUGUUUUACAUGUAACAUCAGAGGAUCUUUAUAUUUAAUAUUUAUAUCUGUAUAUUGUAUCGUAUUUAUAAUAUAAUAUAAUUUUUCAGAUCCCAAAGAUAGUUUGGUCGAUUCGUAGAUAUUAACAGGUAAAGAACGAUAUCCCAAAUGCAUAUUUCUAUUCAGGAUUUUCAUCUUCCUUUAACUCGUGGAACCACCUCGUGAAUUUUCCGACAACCGUUGCCAAACAUCCUACAGAAUGUCUUCGAUAGAGUAAUAUAUUUCUUCGUAUCUCGUGAUAGAAGAUUUCUUACAUACAUAGCACGUGAUAUAUUCCGAUUGUUGAAAAAUAUAACACGUAGAACAAAAUAUGUUUCGACUGUCUGGCAAAAAUUUGGAACCUUUGAUGUAGCACUAUAUUUUCUCACGGAUUAAAACGGAUAUAUUUAGUUUCGCUUCAAA